rnacentral:rRNA from 1 species
GGGGGAUAUUGCACAAUGGGGGAAACCCUGAUGCAGCGACGCCGCGUGGAGGAAGAAGGUUUUCGGAUUGUAAACUCCUGUCGUUAGGGACGAUAAUGACGGUACCUAACAAGAAAGCACCGGCUAACUACGUGCCAGCAGCCGCGGUAAAACGUAGGGUGCAAGCGUUGUCCGGAAUUACUGGGUGUAAAGGGAGCGCAGGCGGACCGGCAAGUUGGAAGUGAAAUCCAUGGGCUCAACCCAUGAACUGCUUUCAAAAUUGAUUGUCUUGAGUAGUGCAGAGGUAGGCGGAAUUCCCGGUGUAGCGGUGGAAUGCGUAGAUAUCGGGAGGAACACCAGUGGCGAAGGCGGCCUACUGGGCACCAACUGACGCUGAGGCUCGAAAGUGUGGGUAGCAAACAGGAUUAGAUACCCUGGUAGUCCACACCGUAAACGAUGAUUACUAGGUGUUGGAGGAUUGACCCCUUCAGUGCCGCAGUUAACACAAUAAGUAAUCCACCUGGGGAGUACGACCGCAAGGUUGAAACUCAAAGGAAUUGACGGGGGCCCGCACAAGCAGUGGAGUAUGUGGUUUAAUUCGACGCAACGCGAAGAACCUUACCAAGUCUUGACAUCCUGCGACGGUGCUAGAAAUAGUAUUUUCCUUCGGGACGCAGAGACAGGUGGUGCAUGGUUGUCGUCAGCUCGUGUCGUGAGAUGUUGGGUUAAGUCCCGCAACGAGCGCAACCCUUAUGGUCAGUUACUACGCAAGAGGACUCUGGCCAGACUGCCGUUGACAAAACGGAGGAAGGUGGGGAUGACGUCAAAUCAUCAUGCCCUUUAUGACUUGGGCUACACACGUACUACAAUGGCGUUAAACAAAGAGAAGCAAGACCGCGAGGUGGAGCAAAACUCAGAAACAACGUCCCAGUUCGGACUGCAGGCUGCAACUCGCCUGCACGAAGUCGGAAUUGCUAGUAAUCGCAGAUCAGCAUGCUGCGGUGAAUACGUUCCCG